AAAAUGUAGCAUGUAACUUGAAUUAUGAAAUAUCUAAAUUUUACUACAAAAUUUUUCUUUUAAAUUAUGCUAAAGUAGCAUAAAUGUAAAUCUACAAUGCCUGAUUGAAUUUUAUAUUUGAAUAACCCCAGUUGGGUUUUUUUUAUUUUACCAUUAAUUUUGAAUGACCGGACAAAUAUAAUACCAGGAUAAAUACAGGAUGAAGGAGACUAAACAUUUUCCAUAAACUCAAGCAAAUUCAACCAAAUUUUGGAAUUCAAGUACAGUAUGAAAGUUAAAUUUCCAUUUACAAUUCGAAGUGGGGUAAGCAGAACACUUGUUUUACAAUUCGGCUUCUAAUUCAACCAAGUCCAUCGAAUUUUAUGAGUUUCAAACUUCGAUAAUCGUCGCUUAUCUACGAUUCCACAUUACACUGAAGCUUCAGUUGUAGGCCUACCGGG
rnacentral:lncRNA from 1 species